AUGAAGCCCGAGGAUGAGCACAAAACCGCCUUCAAGACGCACCACGACCAUUUCGAGUUCCAGGUUCUUUCCUAUGGACUAACCGGCGGUCCAGCGACCUUCCAAGGGGGAAUGAACAUUGUUUUGGCACCGGUCAACCGAAAAGAAGUCUUGGUUUUCAUUGAUGACAUCCUGAUCCACAGCGCCACUCUGGAACGACACAUCCAGCUCAUGCGGCAAGUGUUCGAGCUACUUGACGAACACCAACUAAAGAUUAAGUUAAGCAAGUGUUCAUUUGCCAGAACCAGUCUCACCUAUCUGGGACACGAAAUCAGUGAAGAAGGAGUUCAGACAGACGGCAAGAAUGUGGCGACAGUUCAGAAAUGGCCAACCCCGGCAAAUGUCAAGGAGGUGCGCGGGUUUCUUGGAUUAGCAGGUUACUACCGCAAGUUCGUCAAGAACUUUGGCAUCAUCAGCCGGCCGCUCACGGAUCUGCUCAAGAAGAACACAAUCUUUAGAUGGACUGAGCUCGAAGCCGCAACGUUCCAAGAGCUCAAAACUGCAUUAGUCACUGCUCCUGUGUUGGCCCUGCCGGAUUUCUCGAAGCCAUUCGAGCUCGAAACAGAUGCCUCAGACCGAGGCAUUGGAGCAGUGUUGCGCCAGGGCAACCACCCAGUGGUGUUUCUCAACAAAGCAUUGGGUCCCAAGAACCGUGCCUUGUCCACUUAUGAAAAAGAAGGGUUGGCAAUCCUUAUGGCAGUUGAGCAAUGGCGUAUUUACCUACAGAGUGAAGAGUUCGUGAUCCAUACAGACCAAUGCAGCCUGGUACACCUCGAAGAUCAGCGCUUGGCUACACCCUGA
rnacentral:rRNA from 1 species